rnacentral:rRNA from 1 species
GUCCACGCCGUAAACGAUGUCAACUAGCCGUUGGGAGCCUUGAGCUCUUAGUGGCGCAGCUAACGCAUUAAGUUGACCGCCUGGGGAGUACGGCCGCAAGGUUAAAACUCAAAUGAAUUGACGGGGCCCGCACAAGCGGUGGAGCAUGUGGUUUAAUUCGAAGCAACGCGAAGAACCUUACCAGGCCUUGACAUCCAAUGAAUCUGCUAGAGAUAGCGGAGUGCCUUCGGGAACAUUGAGACAGGUGCUGCAUGGCUGUCGU